GGUCCCGUAGUGGAGCGGUUUAACACGCCUGCCUGUCACGCAGGAGAUCGCGGGUUCGAUUCCCGUCGGGACCG
rfam:Staphylococcus pseudintermedius strain 063228, complete genome.